UGCUCCUUGGUCAGCAAUGCA
rnacentral:misc_RNA from 1 species